GUGGUAGUUGAUGGGCAGCACUUUUAUUAAAAUUGGAAACUUACAAAUAAGAUUCACAUCACCCAUGCACAAGGAUGGCAUGCAAAUUUGUGAAGCAUUCCAUAUUAAA
ensembl:snRNA U6 U6 spliceosomal RNA